rnacentral:rRNA from 1 species
GACGAACGCUGGCGGCGUGCCUAACACAUGCAAGUUGAGCGACUAACCAGGGCUUGCCCUGGGGCAAAGCAGCGAACGGGUGAGUAACACGUGGGUAACCUGCCGAGAUGACCGGGACAACCCGAGGAAACUCGGGCUAAUACCGGAGGUGUUUCACACACAUCAGUGUGUGAAGGAAAGGAAGCUUCGGCCUCCGCACCUCGGGGGGCCCGCGGCCCAUUAGUUUGUUGGUGAGGUAACGGCUCACCAAGGCAACGAUGGGUAGCUGGUCUGAGAGGACGAUCAGCCACACUGGGACUGAGACACGGCCCAGACUCCUACGGGAGGCAGCAGUGGGGAAUCUUGCGCAAUGCGCGAAAGCGUGACGCAGCAACGCCGCGUGAGGGAAGACGGCCUUCGAGUUGUAAACCUCUUUCAGAAGGGACGAAGGGUCGGCCGCGAAUAGCGAGCCGGCUUGACGGUACCUUCAGAAGAAGCCCCGGCUAACUACGUGCCAGCAGCCGCCGUAA